UGCAAGUCGAGCGGUAGAGAGAAGCUUGCUUCUCUUGAGAGCGGCGGACGGGUGAGUAAUGCCUAGGAAUCUGCCUGGUAGUGGGGGAUAACGCUCGGAAACGGACGCUAAUACCGCAUACGUCCUACGGGAGAAAGCAGGGGACCUUCGGGCCUUGCGCUAUCAGAUGAGCCUAGGUCGGAUUAGCUAGUUGGUGGGGUAAUGGCUCACCAAGGCGACGAUCCGUAACUGGUCUGAGAGGAUGAUCAGUCACACUGGAACUGAGACACGGUCCAGACUCCUACGGGAGGCAGCAGUGGGGAAUAUUGGACAAUGGGCGAAAGCCUGAUCCAGCCAUGCCGCGUGUGUGAAGAAGGUCUUCGGAUUGUAAAGCACUUUAAGUUGGGAGGAAGGGCAGUAACCUAAUACGUUGCUGUCUUGACGUUACCGACAGAAUAAGCACCGGCUAACUCUGUGCCAGCAGCCGCGGUAAUACAGAGGGUGCAAGCGUUAAUCGGAAUUACUGGGCGUAAAGCGCGCGUAGGUGGUUUGUUAAGUUGGAUGUGAAAUCCCCGGGCUCAACCUGGGAACUGCAUUCAAAACUGACAAGCUAGAGUAUGGUAGAGGGUGGUGGAAUUUCCUGUGUAGCGGUGAAAUGCGUAGAUAUAGGAAGGAACACCAGUGGCGAAGGCGACCACCUGGACUGAUACUGACACUGA
rnacentral:rRNA from 1 species